rnacentral:rRNA from 1 species
CGAUGUCGACUUGGAGGUUGUGCCCUUGAGGCGUGGCUUCCGGAGCUAACGCGUUAAGUCGACCGCCUGGGGAGUACGGCCGCAAGGUUAAAACUCAAAUGAAUUGACGGGGGCCCGCACAAGCGGUGGAGCAUGUGGUUUAAUUCGAUGCAACGCGAAGAACCUUACCUACUCUUGACAUCCAGAGAACUUAGCAGAGAUGCUUUGGUGCCUUCGGGAACUCUGAGACAGGUGCUGCAUGGCUGUCGUCAGCUCGUGUUGUGAAAUGUUGGGUUAAGUCCCGCAACGAGCGCAACCCUUAUCCUUUGUUGCCAGCGGUCCGGCCGGGAACUCAAAGGAGACUGCCAGUGAUAAACUGGAGGAAGGUGGGGAUGACGUCAAGUCAUCAUGGCCCUUACGAGUAGGGCUACACACGUGCUACAAUGGCAUAUACAAAGAGAAGCGACCUCGCGAGAGCAAGCGGACCUCAUAAAGUAUGUCGUAGUCCGGAUUGGAGUCUGCAACUCGAC